CGUCUGUCCGUGUUUACGAGAGUGCAUUUAUUGGGUAUUUUUCAUGCCAAGAUUGUACUUAUUGGGUACUUUUUGCUUAUUGGGUAUACCCAAUAAGAAGUGUCGCUGAAUAUGCUUAAAACACCCUAAUUGGGUAUUUGCAGGUUAGUACCCAACAAAACUUGGACACGACGAUUUGUCCAAAAAAAGUGUCCAAAAAAGUUGCUUUCACGGACGCACCGUGUUUUGUUGUUUCAGUUUUACAUUCGGAACUCUAAAUUCUCGAGAGUUCCGAAAAUCAACUUCUCCUGAUCCUGAUCAUAACAACGUUUGUUUUCAUGGAAAAAAAAUAUGGCGACUAAGAAACACUUAAUGUCAACAAGAUUUUCUGAUUGACAAGAGAAAAGGUCAAACAGGAACUUCAGUUGUGAACAUUGCAGAGAACACACCCAUCAGAAGAUGACCCUCAGAAAUAGGACAAUU